rnacentral:rRNA from 1 species
UACGAAGGGGGCUAGCGUUGCUCGGAAUCACUGGGCGUAAAGCGCACGUAGGCGGAUUGUUAAGUCAGGGGUGAAAUCCUGGAGCUCAACUCCAGAACUGCCCUUGAUACUGAGGAGCUCGAGUCCGGAAGAGGUGAGUGGAACUGCGAGUGUAGAGGUGAAAUUCGUAGAUAUUCGCAAGAACACCAGUGGCGAAGGCGGCUCACUGGUCCGGUACUGACGCUGAGGUGCGAAAGCGUGGGGAGCAAACAGG